UACGUAGGGGGCAAGCGUUGUUCGGAAUUACUGGGCGUAAAGCGUGCGCAGGCGGUGGCUCAAGCCAGGCGUGAAAUCCCCGGGCUUAACCUGGGAAUGGCGUUUGGGACUGGGUCGCUAGAGUGUGGCAGAGGGAGGUGGAAUUCCACGUGUAGCAGUGAAAUGCGUAGAGAUGUGGAGGAACACCGAUGGCGAAGGCAGCCUCCUGGGCCAGCACUGACGCUCAUGCACGUAAGCGUGGGGAGCAAACAGG
rnacentral:rRNA from 1 species